CCCUUAGAUGUUCUGGGCUGCACGCGCGCUACACUGAUGCACUCAACGAGUUUACGACCUUGCCCGAUAGGGUUGGGUAAUCUUUUUAAAAUGCAUCGUGAUGGGGAUAGAUUAUUGCAAUUAUUAAUCUUCAACGAGGAAUUCCUAGUAAGCGCGAGUCAUCAGCUCGUGCUGAUUACGUCCCUGCCCUUUGUACACACCGCCCGUCGCUCCUACCGAUUGAGUGCUCAGGUGAAUAAUUCGGACUGCAGCAAUGUUUGGAUCCCGAACGUUGUAGCGGAAAGUUUAGUGAACCUUAUCACUUAGAGGAAGGAGAAGUCGUAACA
rnacentral:rRNA from 1 species